CUCCAACCACAAUGACAGAUAAGUCACUGGUGACAGAUUCCGCUGUUGAAGAAUCACGCGCGCGGCUUUCUUCAAAACUGGAAAAUGAAACCCAAAGCGGAUUUGCUGACUGAACCAGCGUGGAAACAACUGCAGCAAUACUUUGACAGCGACGGCGCCAAGAUUAAUAUAUACAAUAUGUUCCAGCAGGAUCCUAAACGUUUCGAGAAAUUUAGCGUGGAGCUCUCCACUCCACAAGACGGGCCGAUUUUACUGGAUUACUCCAAAAACAAGAUUAAUGAAGAAGUACUUGGAUUACUAUUUAAUCUGGCUCGUGCGCGGGAGAUAGAAGCCGCGCGAGGUGCCAUGUUCGGCGGCGAAAAGAUCAAUUUCACAGAGAAUAGAGCGGUUUUGCAUAUUGCUUUGCGCAACAGAAGCAACACGCCGAUAUUGGUGGAUGGAAAGGAUGUAAUGCCUGAUGUUAACGCGGUAUUGGAGCACAUGAAAACUUUUACGAACGAGAUACUGACGAAACAGUGGAAAGGAUUCACCGGUAAACCCAUCGAGGAUGUCGUUAAUAUUGGAAUCGGUGGAUCCGAUCUUGGCCCACUUAUGGUAACCGAGGCUUUAAAAGCAUACAGCAUCGGGCCUAGAGUUCAUUUUGUCAGCAAUAUCGAUGGCACUCAUAUAGCUGAAACUCUUAAGAAAUUGAAUCCGGAAACCACUUUAUUCAUAAUAGCUUCCAAGACGUUUACAACACAGGAAACUAUAACGAACGCAACUACCGCCAAGCAGUGGCUUUUGAAAACGUUGAAAGAUGAAGCCGCAGUCGCCUGUCAUUUUGUGGCAUUGUCCACUAAUGAACAAAAGGUUAAAGAAUUUGGCAUCAAUGUGAAAAAUAUGUUUGGCUUCUGGGACUGGGUCGGUGGACGUUACUCGCUGUGGUCAGCUAUUGGCUUGUCGAUUUGUUUGUCAAUUGGCUUUGAUAAUUUUGAAAAGCUCUUAAGUGGAGCUCACUUUAUGGAUCAACAUUUUUGCACAGCACCGCUGGAGCAAAAUGUCCCUGCCAUACUCGCUUUACUUGGUGUAUGGUAUCACAAUUUUUAUAAGGCUGAGACACAUGCGUUGUUACCGUACGACCAAUACCUACACAGAUUUGCAGCUUACUUCCAGCAAGGGGACAUGGAAAGCAAUGGAAAAUAUAUUACUCGUUCCGGGAAAGCUGUAAAUUAUUCCACUGGGCCAAUCGUGUGGGGAGAACCAGGCACUAAUGGACAACACGCAUUCUAUCAGUUGUUGCAUCAAGGUACGAGACUCGUACCAGCAGAUUUUAUAAUUCCUGUUCAGUCUCAAAAUCAGAUUCCUCCACAUCAUACGAUUUUACUUGCCAACUUCUUUGCGCAAACCGAAGCUUUAAUGAAAGGCAAGGGUGAAAAUGAGGCUCGAGCUGAAUUGCAAAAAUCGGGAUUAAACGCUGAACAAGUGGAGUUACUGUUACCACAUAAGUUGUUUGAAGGAAACAGACCGACAAACAGUAUUGUGAUAAAGAAAUUAACACCUUUUAUUCUUGGCGCUUUGAUUGCAAUGUAUGAACACAAAAUCUUUAUACAGGGAAUUAUUUGGGACAUUAAUUCAUAUGAUCAGUGGGGCGUGGAGUUGGGAAAACAGCUAGCUAAAGCCAUCGAACCAGAACUCGCUAGCGCAGAAAAUGUCACAACGCACGAUUCGUCGACUAAUGGCUUGAUAGCGUUUGCUAAACGUCACAACGCCUAAAUGUACUUAUUUAUUCUUUGUUACAAGGUAUUGAAAAUAGACGCAACGUAAAUAGCUCUAUUCCAAGUUACAUUAUUGUGCACUUGACGUAGUUGGUGAAAGAAAGAUUUCGAGAGCCAAACGUAUAACUCUUAAAGUAUCUUUAAGACUUGAUUCUUUAGUUAGUAAGAAUAUUCUUAAAAGUCGCCAGAAGUAAUUAAUAACGUCAGUGAUUUUUAUUGACCGUAUC